CGCGGGCUGACGGGAAGUGUGGUGUUUAGAGUGUUUCUUGUUUAAUGGAUUGCUGUCCAAGUCCUUCUUGACUGAGGCUUGAUGGCCCAGAGAGGGUGUCAGGCCUGUAGGGCAGUAGUUUAUUAAGCAUUAAACACUUGAAGAGUCGGGUUGUUUGAGAGUACAACCCAAAGCAGGUGGUAAAUUCCAUCUAAGGCUAAAUAUGAGUACGAGUCCGAUAGCGAACAAGUACCGUGAGGGAAAGUUGCAAAGAACUUUGAAGAGAGAGUUCAAGAGUACGUGAAACCGCCUGGAGUGAAGCGGAUCAACCCACAUGUUUGCAAGUUAGAAUCAGUUGUUCGACUAGGGCAUGUAUAGUGCAAUUGCGCCUGCUGCGAUGUGGGUGAGUUGUGCUGUGCGUGUGAUUGUGAGACCUAGUUGGGUAGCCUAUUUCUAGCGAGCAGCGAGUCACGAAGUGUUUCUUGGCAUGCAGUGCAACAUAGAUUGGUAGUCGAUCGAAUCGACGAAGGUCUGUGUUGGUUGCAAUGUUAAGGGACACAGGGCAGCUUGUUCUCAGCUGUAGUCGUUUACGCUGUGAACUGGGGCACGUUUGGGCAGUAGGUAUACAUUGGACUUGUGGGACUGCUUCGCAGUGUCAUGGGGACAGUGUGUACCUGGCUGUUCAGCUUGUCCAGAGAAUCGAGUAAAACGCUGUUCUGUGGCUAGUUGGUAAUUGAUCCGUCCCGUCUUGAAACACGGACCAAGGAGUAUAGCAUGCAGGCGAGUCUGAGGGUCUUGCAAAACCCGAAGGCGCAGUGAAAGCAAAGGCUGCCACGAGGCAGCUGAGAUGUGAUCCAACAAGGGCGAGAGCCCUGUUGGCGCAACAUCGUCUCGUCGUGUUCCCGUGUGGAAGCGGCGAAGAUUGAGCCUGUAUGCUGUGACCCGAAAGAUGGUGAACUAUGCCAGAGUAGGGCGAAGCCAGAGGAAACUCUGGUGGAGGCCCGAAGCGAUUCUAACGUGCAAAUUGAUCGUCAGACUUUGGUAUAGGGGCGAAAGACUAAUCGAACCAUCUAGUAGCUGGUUCCCUCCGAAGUUUCUCUCAGGAUAGCUGGCA
rnacentral:rRNA from 1 species